rnacentral:rRNA from 1 species
UACGGAGGGGGCUAGCGUUGUUCGGAAUUACUGGGCGUAAAGCGCACGUAGGCGGCUUUGUAAGUUAGAGGUGAAAGCCCGGGGCUCAACUCCGGAAUUGCCUUUAAGACUGCAUCGCUUGAACACGGGAGAGGUGAGUGGAAUUCCGAGUGUAGAGGUGAAAUUCGUAGAUAUUCGGAAGAACACCAGUGGCGAAGGCGACUUACUGGACACAUAUUGACGCUGAGGUGCGAAAGCGUGGGGAGCAAACAGG